rnacentral:misc_RNA from 1 species
GGAAUCUUCCGCAAUGGACGAAAGUCUGACGGAGCAACGCCGCGUGAGUGAUGAAGGUUUUCGGAUCGUAAAGCUCUGUUGUUAGGGAAGAACAAGUACCGUUCGAAUAGGGCGGUACCUUGACGGUACCUAACCAGAAAGCCACGGCUAACUACGUGCCAGCAGCCGCGGUAAUACGUAGGUGGCAAGCGUUGUCCGGAAUUAUUGGGCGUAAAGGGCUCGCAGGCGGUUUCUUAAGUCUGAUGUGAAAGCCCCCGGCUCAACCGGGGAGGGUCAUUGGACACUGGGGAACUUGAGUGCAGAAGAGGAGAGUGGAAUUCCACUUGUAGCGGUGAAAUGCGUAGAGAUGUGGAGGAACACCAGUGGCGAAGGCGACUCUCUGGUCUGUAACUGACGCUGAGGAGCGAAAGCGUGGGGAGCGAACAGGA